AUGUCUGGCAAACGUUGCCUCGCCUCUUCUGUGCAGAUGGAAAGCUGCGAGGGCCCGUCCUUCUCCCUCCACACACCCAGAUACAUCAGCUGGUGCGUAGACUCCCCCGUACCUGCGACCACAGUCGCUCCAGAAGAACAUUUAAGCCACAACCGGCAGCCGGCCGGUUCAGGAUCAGUUCCGCUUCUCCUCCUGUCGCCACCGGAAACCGACGCCACGUUCUCCCGUCAACGACCGCAGGCGGCGUUCACAGAGCGGAGUGGCGGGGGCGAGGAUAAUGAUGAUGAUGAUGAUGGCAACGAGGAGGGAACACAGUGGAGCAAAGAGGAGGUGGAGGAAAAAACCUUCUUCCUUCCCAGGAGCAGUCCGGUUAUCUCCAGACGCCACAGGCCCGUCUCGUGGCACGGAGAGGACACCGGCAUGUCGGCCCCGUCCAGCUUGGACUCCCCGACUCCUGCUCCCGUUUCGCCGACCGUCCCCAGCACGUCCGCUGGACAGCGGGCCAAGAAGCCGCUCUGCCCGCCUGCCUCCUCGCAGCUCAACCGCCUGCUGGGCCCCUGGGCCCGCCGGCCUUUUGGCGGGCAGCAGGGAUUGGCUGAGGGGGACGAGGGCCGGGGGCCGACCGGCUGUGAUGCCUCGGACUCAUCCGUCCCUUCAACCUCAGCAGAUCAUAGCAAAGAGAAAAGGUGCAGCCGCAUCCCAGAAGUCCCUGCAGACAUCUUUAAGACCAGUUGUGAUCUGGAAAAGGUGCGUUCAAUCAGUUACAGUAGUUUGGUACUUCAGAGCAGCAUCAGGGUCAUCGUGUCGCAGGGGGUAGAGUGGGUGCGCUGGGAACGGCAAGGUUGGUGGUUCGAGUCCCGGCUGCCCCAGUUGAAGUGUCCCUGAGCAAGACACCUAACCCCUAAUUGCUCCCCGGGCAAAAAGCCAUGGGUUUAAAUUGUAAUGUAUGUCGCAAUGGAUAAAAGUGUCAGCUAAAUGACAUGUAAUGUAAUCAUUGAUGAAACAAUUAAUCGGAUGAUUUAAAUUAAGAGAGAUUUUUAACAUGGCUGAAUAUUCAUCUUUUAAAAUCUCUGCAUGAGUUAAAAUGACCGUCUCAUCUGACUCCGACGAUAAACUGUCAGUUCGUCAAUAAUGACGACAGAUCUGAUUCAACAGCGUCUCUAUGUGUCUGUGCAGGAGAACGCUCAUUUCGUCGUGGUGGACUUGAUGCUGGAGGUGCUGGAGGGGGUCAAAUGGACCCUGAGCUGCGAUCGACGGACCUCCACGACGGACGGGCGACAACACGCGCACGGCAACACGUGCACGCACAGAGACGCGCCGCCGCGGGGCCACAGGCAGCGGUGUGAGGCAAGCAGACGCACACGGACCUGCAGGGCUGCCGAAGAGGACGCAGAGCAUCACGAGGAUGAACAUACGCCAAAGACUUUCUCCAUCCUCUCCUCGGACAGUGGAAUCGAAG
ensembl:lncRNA